UACGAAGGGUGCAAGCGUUAAUCGGAAUUCCUGGGCGUAAAGCGUGCGCAGGCGGUUUGUUAAGUCUGUUGUGAAAUCCCCGAGCUCAACUUGGGAAUUGCAAUGGAUACUGGCAGGCUGGAGUAUGGUAGAGGAAGGUGGAAUUCCCGGUGUAGCAGUGAAAUGCGUAGAGAUCGGGAGGAACACCAGUGGCGAAGGCGGGUCUCUGGGCCGAUACUGACGCUGAGGAGCGAAAGCGUGGGGAGCGAACAGG
rnacentral:rRNA from 1 species